rnacentral:rRNA from 1 species
UGGGGAAUUUUGGACAAUGGGCGCAAGCCUGAUCCAGCCAUGCCGCGUGAGUGAAGAAGGCCUUCGGGUUGUAAAGCUCUUUCGGCGGGGACGAAAUGGUUCGUGCCAAUACCACGGACUGAUGACGGUACCUGAAGAAGAAGCACCGGCUAACUACGUGCCAGCAGCCGCGGUAAUACGUAGGGUGCAGGCGUUAAUCGGAAUUACUGGGCGUAAAGCGUGCGCAGGCGGUUUGUUAAGACAGAUGUGAAAUCCCCGGGCUUAACCUGGGAACUGCGUUUGUAACUGGCAGACUGGAGUGUGGCAGAGGGGGGUGGAAUUCCAAGUGUAGCAGUGAAAUGCGUAGAUAUUUGGAGGAACAUCUGAGGCGAAGGCGACUAUCUGGAUCACAACUGACGCUGAGGUACGAAAGCAUGGGUAGCAAACAGGAUUAGAUACCCAAGUAGUCCCUGAGCGGGCUGGCAAGGCGCAU